rnacentral:tRNA from 1 species
UCCCUAAUAGCUCAGUUGGUAAAGAAUCUGCCUGCAGUGCAGGAGACCCUGGUUCAAUUCCUGGGUUGGGAA